rnacentral:rRNA from 1 species
AUUGAACGCUGGCGGCAUGCCUUACACAUGCAAGUCGAACGGAUCAGAGGAGCUUGCUCUUCUGGUUAGUGGCGAACGGGUGAGUAAUGCAUCGGAACGUACCCAGUAGUGGGGGAUAACGUAGCGAAAGUUACGCUAAUACCGCAUACGACCUGAGGGUGAAAGCAGGGGAUCGCAAGACCUUGCGCUAUUGGAGCGGCCGAUGUCGGAUUAGCUAGUUGGGAGGGUAAAAGCCUACCAAGGCGACGAUCCGUAGCGGGUCUGAGAGGACGACCAGCCACACUGGGACUGAGACACGGCACAGGCCCCUACGGGCGGCAGCAGUGGGGAAUUUUGGACACUUGGGGAAACCCUGAUCCAGCCAUGCCGCGUGAGUGAAUAAGGCCUUCGGUUUGUAAGCUCUUUCAGACGGAAAGAAAUCUUCCGGGCUAAUACCUCGGGAGGAUGACGGUACCGUAAGAAGAAGCACCGGCUAACUACGUGCCAGCCGCCGCCGUAA